rnacentral:rRNA from 1 species
UACGGAGGGUGCAAGCGUUAUCCGGAUUCACUGGGUUUAAAGGGUGCGUAGGUGGAUUGGUAAGUCCGUGGUGAAAUCCCUGAGCUUAACUCAGGAACUGCCGUGGAUACUAUCAAUCUUGAAUACUGUGGAGGUAAGCGGAAUAUGUCAUGUAGCGGUGAAAUGCUUAGAUAUGACAUAGAACACCAAUUGCGAAGGCAGCUGCUACACGGUUAUUGACACUGAGGCACGAAAGCGUGGGGAUCAAACAGG